UAUAGAGGUUGCAAGCGUUGUUCGGAAUUACUGGGCGUAAAGGGCGCGUAGGCGGUCUUGUAAGUCCCGUGUGAAAGCCCCCGGCUCAACUGGGGAACGGCACGGGAAACUGCGAGGCUUGUGUUCGGGUGAGGGAAGCGGAAUUCCGGGUGUAGCGGUGAAAUGCGUAGAUAUCCGGAGGAACACCAGUGGCGAAGGCGGCUCCCGGGACCGGUACUGACGCUGAGGGGCGAAAGCUGGGGGAGCAGACGGG
rnacentral:rRNA from 1 species